AUUUGAUAUUUCCCUCUGUUCAUUCUGCUUUAAUCGUUCGUUUGCUUGCGAUUGUUUUGUUUCUGAAGGCAUAUUAGCUUCUUAUUUUCUUUUUAGCGGUUCAAAUCGUAAUAGAGUAGCAUCGUUUGGCGAUUUGAUAGCAGGCUGUCGAGAGUUCCCUUUGAUCUUUUAGUGUUUGGGAUUGCGACGAGAUUCUAUACAAUGAUUGGUUUCCCCUUGUUCUCUCUUUUCCUCAUUGGUUAAACACAUCAUUGUUUACAUGGUCAGAUCUUGUGUUUCUAUUGCUAACAAAUCUCCAUGUACCGUAUGAUGAAGAGACUCAUCCCUUGUCCAUCUCAUGUCUAAGUUGAGCCAGCAUAAGAAUCAUCAAAUCCGUACCGAACACACGCAAAGUUGUUGUCUUUGUGCGUAUUUGUCGGUUAGGUUGUACCUAAACCUAAACGUUAUUUAGCGGGACCUUUUCUUAUGACUUCCAAUCUGAAUGUUUUUCUUUUAAUAGGAUCAUAUAUUUAUCCAUUUUAUCAUCGUUUUGUAUCACCAUAACUAAUCUAACUAAGCCAAUGUAAGCUAGGUAGAUGCACUUUGUGCUGAUAAGAUUUGUUCUUAAAUAUAUACUUUAGGUUUUGCUGUGGUUUUGUUAAUUGAGUGUUAAUUUAGUUGAUACUUAAUAGCUUGGAAUUUGAUUGUAUUUUGUGUUGAACUAAAUUGCGGAUGCCAUGCAAAGUUUCACCUCUAUCAUUAACCUCUCUCACUACAUGUCUUUGUCGCUUUAGUGUAAUAUUUAUUUGUAUUAGUUUAUAAUAUUGUCUUGUCAGGUUAGGAGGAGUAGGAGAACGAGGGGAGUGAUUGAAGUGAUGAACCUUCUUGAUUUUUUUUUAUAUGGAUGAAAAUUUGUAUGGAUCAGAUAACUUUUCAUUUUUCCUGGUAUUUAAUUCUUCCUGCUAAACCUUAUUUUUGGGUUUCUCUGUUUUCGAUAGAGGUACAAGGUUAUUGGUUAUAAGCGGCAUGGCAUUGGCCAUGACUGGUUAAUUGGUGUAAGAGCUUCUACAGGAACAUAUAUGUUCUAUAUAAAUUUAUAGGGAUAAAUAUACUAAUCCCAAUUGCAAGAUAGAUAUUUAAGGAUUUUGGGACCAAACCAACCCAAUUAUCUGAGACAACCCUCAGCCCAUUGGCCCAUUCUAACAAGAUGGCAUCGUUUCCGUCCAUCCAUCCAUCCUACGAGUAAUUUCCACAUUGACUAUAUUAUCCUUAGGAUUGGCUUCCUUGGCGAGUCGCCCCCUUUUCGCUUCAGGUGAGAGGAGCACCGACGGAGAUCGUCGAGGGUUCGCGAGGAGUUCCGAAGAGAUGAGGGCGUAGUGGAAGAAGAAACGCAUGAGGAGGCUUAAGAGGAAACGCCGAAAGAUGAGGCAGAGGUCAAAGUAGGCAUGUAUGGCUGCACAGCAUCUCAGUUUUGAAGGUGAUUGAUUCUGAUUCCGUUUUCCGCAUGAUGUUGGGGUGUAUUCAAUCGAGGCAACACAGUAUCUGAUACUUUGUUAAACAUACAGUUUCAGGAACUCAAUACUUUGUUUAGGAAGUUGAUACUUGGUGAUUUACAUUCAACAGUGGUGUUUUUGUUCGACACAGUAUCUGAAAUUAAUCAUGCUCUUUGUCUUGUUGAA